rnacentral:lncRNA from 1 species
AAAUUGACGUUCUUGAACAAUAGUUCGGCCAGACAAUCUGCUGAGAAAAAAACAAUAUAGAUAAAACAGGUUAGGCCAAGCAACCAUCAAGUGCACGAUUUUCGGAUAAUUCAAUACAACUACAGGUAAAAAAAAAAAAAAAAAAAAAAAAAAACAUAGGUCAUUUUUAAAAAAGUAUUUAGUUUCCUCAGAUUGUAUUUUUGAACCAAAAGCAGAUAGUUAAGGAAAUGAUACACCAUCAGGGAUAAAAAGCAUUUGCACGGAACAAAAGCAUUUGUGACGGCCCGAUUCCCAGGGUAGCACCCAUCCUAGGACUAUCCCGUCGCCUAGCCGGCUUAACUCUCUUAUAACCUCUGUAGGUCUAGCCACCACCCAAAAUACUUAAGGCCGCGGUUAAAGAGUUUUACCCUAUUAUAUCUUAUAUUAUAGACUACCGGGGUCUCGACAAUCUCCCCUCCUUUAAGCCCUGACAUCCUCUCAGCGCUCAGACUCACAAGUACCAGGCGAUGUGAGACUCAUUCUCGAUUAGCCCGUGUAUCAGACCCUGGCUCGUAGGGAAUUAGCCGAGAUAUUCUCCAUUUCGGGCUUGGUAAUUGCGCUCUGGAUAGCCAUCUGUAACACAUCCCAGACCUUCCCAGGGGUCACCCAUUUAUGGACUACUCCGCGUCCUAGCACCGUUAACUUUUAACCUCUUCGGGCCAUCACAUCUCAAAAUGCCGUAAGCCGCGGUUAAAAGUUAUAAGCCCUAUUAUAUCUAGUAUAUAGGACUAUUGGGGUCUCACAAUCUCCUUCUUUAGAACCUGACUCCUGUCAGGCUCAGACUUCACAAGUACCAGAGGGCCGAUUGUGAGAACUCAUACUCGUAGUCCGCUCAUCCAUACCUGUCUCUGAAGGCGCAGACUCAUCUCACUAUCUUGCCGCCGCGGUGAUAUUGGCUCUGGAUACAUCAUGGCGACUACGGGUGUACGCGCCCAUAACUUCCCAGGUGGUCACCAUCCUAGGACGUGACUCCCGUCCUAGCACGUUAAACCUGACUUAACCUCCUUGUGCCGUUGCACCACCACAAGAAGGAUGCCUUAAGCCGGGUUAAGAGUUUUUAGCCCUAUUAUAUCUUAUAUAUAGGACAAAACCCGAGGGCUCCACAAUUGAUGUCAGGUCGUAAAGGGGGGGAGAUUUGUAGAGACCCCGAGUUGUCCUUAUAUAUAAGAUAUAAUAGGGCUAAACGUCUACUCCGACUUAAGCAUUUGGGUCGUGCCAAGCCAAGAGGUUUAGAGAGUUAAGCGUGCUAGGACGGGUAGUCCCUGGAUGCGGUGACCCUGCGGAAGUCGGGAGGGAGUAGCAGUUAGGUAUCAAGACCAGAUUACCUGCUGGGAAGUGUGAGAUGCAGUCGCGGUUGAGCCAGCGGUCUGGAUGACGGCUGCGAGAGUGAGUUCACUCGCCUGGGACUGCUGAGUCUGAGCUGAGAACGGUCAGGGCUUAAAGGGCAGGGGAGAUUGUGAACCCAGGUAGUCCGUAUAUGAUAAAUUAUAGGGACUAAACUCUUAACCCGCUAAGAUUUUGGUGGUGGAAGGCACUAUAUAGAGGUGUAAGAGGACAGAAAUUUAAGCGUGGCUGGAGCGGGAGUGAGUCCUAGGAGCAAUGGGUGGACCCCUGGGGGAAGUUGGGAUUGGAAGUAUCGGCGUCACAUUAAAGAAAACGUAGUCAAUUUUUAAAAAGUUAUUUUAUUUCCCUCAGAUUGUAUUUUUGAACAAAAGAGAUAGUAGAUGAACAACAGGGAUAAAAAGCAUUUGCCCAACGGAACAAAAGCAUUGUGUGUACGCCCGACUUCCACAGGGGGUCACCUUGCAUCAUAAUGGACUACUUCCCUCCUAGACCUUAACUCUCUAACUGCCUUAGUCUAAGCCCACCCAAAAUACUUUUAGAUCCGGUUAAGUUUUAGCCGACUAUUAUAUCUUAUAUAGGUACUACCCGGGGUCUCCAAUCUCCCCUCCUUUAAGCCCUGACAUCCUGUCAGCCUCAGACUCACAAGUCCAGCCGAUGUAACCCACAUCUCGCUACCGUCCUCCAGACCGGCUCACCGACUACUCAUUCACACUUCGGCUGUAUUGGCUCUGAUACCAUAUUUAACAACCCCAAUUCCCAGGGUCACGUUCCUCCUAGACUACUCCCUCCUAGCACCUUAACUCUCUAACCCUCUUAUGGCCAUGCCAUCCACCAAAAUGCUAACCGGGUUAAAAGUUAGGCCCUAUUAUAUACAUAUAUAGUACUAUUGGGUCUCACAUCUCCUUCUUAAGCCCCUGACGUCCUCGUCAGCUCAGACUCAACAAUACCCAGCAGGCGAUGUGAGACUCAUCUCUAGCUCGUCAUCCAGACCCUUGCUCAGCCGACGACUAUCAUCUCACCACUUCCGCUGUAUUGGCAUCUGAACAUCUUGACCGUCCCAACAUUCUCCAGGGGUCACCCAUCUAGACUACUGCCCUAGCACGCUUAACCUUCUUAACCCUUAUGCCUUGCCACCACCCAAUAAUCUUAAGCCGGUUAAUAUUUUAGCCCUAUUAUAUCUUAUAUAUAGGAACAGACACGCGGGUGCUCUCACAAGAUGUCAGGUCGUAAAGGGGGUGUGUGGGUGGUGUCGGGGAAGAUUGUGAGAUCCCCGGUUUGUCGCUAUAUAUAAAUAUAAUAGGCUAAACCUUAACCCCUUAAGCAUUUGGGUCGUGGGCAAGCUCCAAGAGUUAAUAAUUUAAGCGUGCUAGACCGGGAGUAGUCUCUAGGAUGGGUGACCCUGGAAGUCGGGCGCACAGUUGUAUCAGAGCAAUUACCAUCUGGAAUGUGAGAUAGUCUCGGUUGAGCAGUCUGGAUACGGGCCUACGAGAGAGUCUCACAUCGCCUGGUACUGUGAAUCUGAGACCUGACGAGACUCAGGGCUUAAAGGAGGAGAUGUGAACCCGCGGGUAGUCCUAUAUAUAGACAUAUAAGGGCUAAAAACUCUUAAACCCCGGCUUAAGCAUUUUGGUUGUGGCACAGGCCUAAGCAGGUUAAAAAAGUGUUAAGCUGCUAUGGACGGGAUAUCCUAGGAUGGUGACCCCGGAAUUGGCGUCCACACUUUUCUGACGAAAAAAAUAAAAAACAGUCUGGAUAUCAGAGUGUGGAGUUACUGGGAAAAAAUUGAAGCCCAAAACAAAACAAAGGGAAGAAAAAGAAGAACAAAUAAUGAAGAUAGCGGAGAGCAAGGUUCAGAUUUAGACUUGUGGAUCCUCUAAGCAAAAAUCUAUGAUAACUAUUGUGGGGAUCUCUACAAUAAUAUUCGUAGGCUACAGCGAUUGCCCCGGGGCCAGUCAAUAUGUUGUACCGUCAUGAGCAAAUUUAGUAAAACUAUCCUUAUCAUCAUAACCUCGCACGAAAGAAUAGUAAAAGCAACACUAAGUAGGCAAGAUGCUAUAAAAAUCCCCAACACCACAAAUAUACUAUAAAAAAUCCCCAGCACCACAAAUAGCCAUGGAAAUUUUGUGCAACAAAACAAUCAUGCAGCCCCGGAGCUGUUCAACAUGCCAUGCCAAUAUGAAUAGAUUCAGUAGAGUUGUUUAUAUCAUCAUAACCUUGCACGAAAGACCAGCAAAAGCAACAGCAAAUAGGUGAAGAUCUUGAAGAACUUCCCAGCUUCACAAAUAACAGGGAAAAAAGUAAAAACAGGAUAAAAAAAAUAUCACGGCAAUUCCACAACAAUGCAAUAACAAAGCAGAGUGUGCAGAUCUAAUAAAGGAAUGUAUCCAACCAAAAGUAGAGCAGUGAAAAGACUUGGUUUUUCUUUUUUAGAUCCAAUAAAGAAAUGCAUGCAGUCAAAAUAUUUCCCUUUUUUAAGAAAAUAACUAUAUAAAUACAUAUGUACACCUCCAAAACCCAAUAACUGAGGUUCAAAGGAAAAUAAUACAACUACAGCUCAAAAGAAAGCAAGAAAUACAUGAGGCUGCAUGAAGAAAUACCUAGUAAGUUCCUUCUUUUUUAUCAUAUUCAAGCUACAAUGUAAAUAUUUGUAAGUUUAUUGGCAGCCAAUGAAGAAAUACAUUCAACAAAGAACAGGAAAAAAACUGUGUCCUCUUUUAAAAAGAGAGACAACUAUAUAGAUACAGCCGUACAUCUCCGGAACCGAAGCAAUUAAUGUAGAAAGAAAGAACUACAUGGAAGGGAUUCUUCUUUUUGGACAUAUUCAAGUUACAAUGUAAAUACCUGUAAGCUUAAUACAGAAAGAAAUAAAUACAUGGAAGGGGUUCUUCUUUUUGGACAUAUAAUGUAUUGGUAUUGAUACUUGUAAGCUUACUGGCAACCAACUUGUAGGUAAUAAAAAGGAAAGCAACUAUAUAGGUACUUUCGUAUAUCGCCGGAAUCCAACCAAGUAAUGUAGAAAGCAAGAAAAUACAUUGAAGGGGUUCUUUUUUUUUGGGCAUAUUCAAGUUACAAUGUAAAUACUUGUAGGCCUACUGGCAACCACCUUGCAAGUAAUCAAACACAUGCAUUUCUAUAACUCCUCAACAAAAUUUUGCUGAAAGAACACAUCAGACUACAGCAAGAAAUAUCCAAUAAAUUCCUUUUUGUGUUAUAUUCAAACUACAAUGUAAAUAUCUGUAAGUUUAUUGGCAGCCACUGAAAAAUUGCAUCCAACAAAAAACAGGACAGCGAAAAAGCUAUGUCUUUUUUUUAAACCCAAGCAAUUAAUGUAGAAGCAAGGAAUAAAUCAAACACAUGAAGUAACAAAGAAUGGGCUAUUUUUUUUUUGUAAGCUUAUUAGCAACCAACUUGCCAGUUUAUACAAAAGAAAAUGUGCAAAUGUGUUAGGCCAGUGCUUUACUAUGCAACAAAAAAUGUGGAGGAAGCCUUGAUUCGAGGCAAAGUGCAUUUAACGGAACAAAAGUAAACAAAGGAAAACACAUAAAAGUGCAUGGAAAACAAAACAAAGGAAACAUUAGUUAGGGAAAAUAGAAGACUUGAUAUCACUGAAUUAAAUAAAGAGGAACACCAUGACACAUUAGGUAAAACCAAAAGCAAGAAGAUCUGCUACAUAUUUUAGAGCAAAAGAGGUGGAAAGCACAAAAAGCAUGAGAUCUGAUGAUCAAGGGGAAAAAAAAAAAAAAAAGAGGACAGAUGGAUGCCCAAAUGCAGGGUAUGCGACGGCGACAGCAAGGUUUCUCGCGGGAUUUUCGGGAUCGGUCGUCGUGGGUGACGGUGGCAGCGCGAUAUUGCGGGAUUUGAAAGCCAGACAAUGGGAUCCGGCGGAUGUUGCGGGAUUUGAAAGCCGGACAACGGGAUCCGCGGGAUUGCGAAAUCUGAGAUGGGCGGCGACAUGGAUCCUGAAUCCCUAAUAGUCGACGCAGGGGAGAGAGAGCAAGAGCGAAAGAUAGAGUAAAGGCCUCGAAGGGCAGAUCGCCCUGUACAGUGCGGAGAUGCGCGUAGGAGGCGGUGGCGGCGCGUAGGAUGCGGAGGUGUACGGGAAACUUUGAGGGCUCACAGGAGACAGACAGUGAGAGAGAGAGAGAAAGAGAGAGAGAGAGAGAGAGAGAGAGAGGAGGGGAAUGGAAGGGGCCUACAGGAAAAAAAAAGAAAAAAAGGAAAAGUGCACUCUCGAACCCUUCUCUAUGGGACCCACUAAACUGAAAAUCCGGAGAGGGGAAGGAGAGGGGGGACCCACAGGCCAAAAACAGAGGGACCCACACCGAAAAUGCGGAGCGAUUGUAGAAGGAGUUUUCGGUUCGCCCUUUAAUGUAUUAGUAUUGAUAUUGAUAUUAGUCCAUUAGUUAACAAUACUAUAGGACGCUGAAACACUAUCGGAAGAGCUUUAUUUUCAAAUUAGAGCAAUGCUCCUAUGCACCGGACAAAUCUCAACCGUUAAAAUUCUUUAAAUGGACGGUAACGAUAGACCUAUUAAAAGAGGGUGACCGGCAGUUGGGGGUAUAGGUACCGGUCAACACUUUAAUAAGGGCAAAAAAAUUUUUUAUUAUAUGGAGUUUGCAAUGAGGGCAUUUUGGUAAAUUUCCAUCCUCAUAACAUGUUAUUUUUGUAAAUUUAGAAUAUUCCACCUUCCUUCAUUCUUAUCCUCCAAUAUUCCAUCUUUGUAUUAUUACCUUUCCUAAAUUAAACCUCAUGUCUUUAAACCAUAGUUAGUUAAUUCGAAUACGAUAAAAAUUCGAUACGGAUAAAAUACGAAUAAAAUUUGUAUCUUAAUUUUUAAGUUCGUUGAAAAAUACGGUUUAAAAAUUAAAUUCGCCAAUAAUUUGUAUACGCGAUUUAUACGAAAAUUUUACGUUUAUCAUUUAAAAAUUCGGAAUAAAAAUUUGUUUAUUUAAUUAAAAAAAUUUUAGAUUUAUGCUAUUAUCAUGCAUAAAUAAUUAUAAUUCUUAUAAAAUAUAAAAAUAAAAUUAGAUAUAUAUAUAUACACACAACACAACACACACACACACAAAAAGGGGGAGUGGAGCGAGAGGUCCACCGUGGACCUCUCACUCCACACAGUCCACGAGGCUGAAUGCAGCCUCGUGGACAGCAAUAUUUUUCUACACGUAGGCUGCGAUUUCUUCUUCCUCGCCGCUCCCCUUUUCCUUUUUUGCUUUAAAAUCAUUUAGUUUAAAUAGUUAACAAAUUUUAUUUUUUUAACUAUAAUAUAAACUAAAUCUAAAUUUAAAAUUUAAUUUUAAUCAAUAUUUUUAAACUUUAAUGUUGUUUUUACUAUCGAAUGAACAAUUUGAAUUUAAUUUUAAAAAUAAAAGCCUUUAAUUUAAAUAAAAAAUAAAAGUUAUGUUUAUAAAUACAGCAUAAUUUAUAAUUUAAAUUAAAUUAAUAUAUUUGAAAUUUCGUAUCAUUUUAAUAUAUCAAAUUAACAAUUUGAAUUGAAAUAUACUAUUCAUUUAAACAUAAAUUUUUUCAUUCUGAAAAUAAAAAUUAAAAUUAAAUUUGAAUGUAAUGUACACAAUUAUAAAGUUUAAGCUCAAAUUGAAUUUUAAAUUCAAUUUAUAAAGGUUUAUUACUUAUCAAAUUAGCACUAUCUAAUUUGAUAAGUAACAAAAUUAAACAAGGAAACAAAUAUUUAUAUAAGGUUGAUCAAAUUUGGUAAUUAGUUUGUAUUUUUUUUCUCAUAUUACCCUUACGAAUGGUAACCUGUUGGGCAGGUAACCACUAUGCAAAAGUCAAUCUCGCCUUUAAAAUAUGAACGGUUAGAUUUAUUUUACCUGGUGUAUUGAAACAUUCCUCUUCAAAUUAUCUAUGGAACAUAGUAGUUACCAUUUCGAAACUUGU